GCUUGCUCUAGUUCCCAGGCUUUGGCCCCCAGUGGACGAGAAUCGCUGAGCCUGCGGGGCUGGACGCUGAGCGCCCGGGCCAGCACCUAGGCGGGCGCGGAGCUAUACGGGCCAGGGUUCGCACGGGCUGGGUGGAGGCUCGAGCGGGGACCCCCGAGCGUGAGCCCCUGAGCCGGCGGCCCUGGGGCCAGGGGAACCGGGCGGGAGGUGGCGAAGGUGGCGGCGGAGGCGAAGGGGCGGCGGGACCCGGGCCUGGCCCAUGUGUGUCCUGGGGGCCUGGCCCAGGCCGCUGCUGUACGGUGAGUCCCAGGGAGGCGAAUCUGGGCGCCUGGAAGGACACCCUCCUGGAUUUGCCCCGUAGGCCCGGCCCGGGCCCCUCGGGAGCAGAACAGCCUUGGUGAGGUGGACAAGAGGGGACCUUGCGAGCAGACGCGCGCCAGCGACAGCAGCCCCGCCCCGGCAUCUGGGGAGCCCCAGGAGGAUACGUCUUUGGAUUUUCGGGCCCGCAGCGAGAAGGGCCUGGGUGAAGUCACCGUGUGUUCGGGACCUUAGAGUAUGGGGCGGGGGAGGGUCCCGAUCGCUUGCAAGAGAGGCGUGUGUUUGGGUUUGAGGCGCUACACGGGAAGAUAUGGGAGGACGAGGCUUACUGGGGCGUGGAGGGUGUCACCAGCCUCAGCUGCAGACGUCGUCUCCACUCCCCCCAACCCCUAACAGCCCUUCCUCCUCCUUUCCGUGCUCCAGAUUUCGACCGCCUCUAAACAUCCGUCAGCACCUCUGUUCUCUCAUUUAAGUGUCUGCUGAUUCCCCCCUUAGAUCUGCCCUGGGGACUGGUAGUAAUGCAGGAACAGUCUGCAGGGAUUCUCUCUUGCUGCCUCAGUUGCUAGGGGAAGAGACUGGGCCUUAGCAGGUCUACCAGCCACAGUCUCUGCACGUUUCCAAGAGCAGCAGAAAAUGAACACAUUGCAGUGAUUUCAUUGCAGUCGAAUCCAGCGGGCAUUUUC
rnacentral:lncRNA from 1 species